GCUGGGCGUGGUGGUGCGUGCCUGUGAUCCCAGCUACUUGGGAGGCUGAGGCAGAAGAAUCACUUGAACCCAGGAGGUGGAGGUUGCAGCGAGCUAAGUUCAUGCCACUGCACUCCAGCCUGAGCAACAGAGUGAGACUCUGCCUCAA
ensembl:misc_RNA Metazoa_SRP Metazoan signal recognition particle RNA